rnacentral:rRNA from 1 species
AAGGUAGCAUAAUCAUUUGCUUCUUAAUUAGAAGCUGGAAUGAAGGGGGUGACGAGAUCUAGGCUAUUUGUGGAACAGAAUAAAUUGACAUUGUGGUUAAAAGGCCUCAAUAUAUCAAAGGGACGAUAAGACCCUAUAAAACUUUACCCUUAUAUUAUGGAGUGAAUUAGAUUAAAUCUGUAGUUAGGGUUGGACUGGGGCGGUGUAUAUAUAAACAAUCUUAGAAUAAAUAUAUUACUUAAAUUUAAAGAACUCUGUUAAGAAAUAUAGAAUAAGUUACUUUAGGGAUAACAGCAUAAUUCUUCCAGAGAGUACUAAUUGGCGGGAGAGCUUAUGACCUCGAUGUUGAAUUGGGGCUCCUUGUGUGAGCAGAAAUAUACUAAGGCAGUCUGUUCGACUAAUAAAUCCCC